ensembl:lncRNA
CUCUAUCAUCCUGGAUUCGAGAGAUGUUGGAGAGAACAAAUCCAAGGUCGGCUGGAGAACUUGGAAGACUGGAGACACAAGGGCCAAGUCUCAGUGUUUGAUUCUUACACUGAACAUGUUUAAUUAAAACAAUAAAGUUACUGAAGAAGAUUUCACACACAGUUGUGAUCAAUCUAGACAAAUGCUCGUGCUAUGCAUUUAGUAGAAGUUAUAUGGAGGAAGCUUCCUGAUGUGUUCAGUGAAGGAGAUGAAGAAACUGAUGCUCAAAGAGAUAAAUUGACUAGCCUGGAGUCUUCUGGCUACAGAAGGUAAAGUGGGUUCUUUGCAACUUUGGAGGCUGAGAUUGUUGCCACCGAACACAGCGGUGAUUCGGGAGUCAGGAACACAGAUAUAUCAGCAAGCAAAAGCAUCCAGCCUAUACAAGAUCAAAUUAGAGAGAGGUAUCAGCAGGAAACAGGUGGCACCUCAAAUUAGGAGAACUCAAGAAGUGUUCAUAAAGAAACUAUUUACGAAAGUGUGGGCAAAGGGUAGGGAAACCACAAGGCAUAGUGCAGAGCUCCAGAUUAGUAGUAGUGGGCCUCUAUUGCCCCUCUGAGACCUCUAAGGGCAGGCGACAGAGUGGGCUAAUGGAGCUGGGGAGACAGGACUGUGGAGAAGGCUGCAUAGCUGAGCUGAGACCUUAGAAUGCAGCUGGCCCUUGGGGACCCCACUGGGAGGAAACUUGGAGAAUAAAUCUCCCAAGUUCUCUCUACUCCUUCCCACUGAUCACUUACCAGUGACAGACUCAACUGGAGGUCAGAGGAUGAGAAGUCAGUUGAUGCAUCCUUCCAAUCUGGGCAUCCUGGGGCUACAACAGAGCGGGGUGGAGAGUGGUGGGGAGUGGCUCAGGAGGGCCAAGCAAAGGCACCUGGCACAGGGGUUGGUCAAGCCAAGGGCGUUUUAGGGGACAGAGCGAUGAUGGCUAGGGGAAGAAAUGAAGAUCAUUUGAACUCAGGGUCCAACAUUGCUUUAGUUUUGCCAGUAUAUUUUUAAAUUCAAGUAUAUCUAGUUUGCGGUGUGUUAAUUUCUGUUGUACAGCAAAAUGA